rnacentral:rRNA from 1 species
GCUUGGGAAUCUGCCCGAUAGUGGGGACCAACAGUUGGAACGACUGCUAAUACCGCAUACGCCCUACCGGGGAAAGGACAGGGAGUCUUCGGACCUUGCGCUAUCGGAUGAGCCCAACGUCGGAUUAGCUAGUUGGUGGGGUAAAAGACCUACCAAGGCGACGAUCCGUAGCUGGUUUGAGAGGAUGAUCAGCCACACUGGGACUGAGACACGGCCCAGACUCCUACGGGAGGCAGCAGUGGGGAAUAUUGCACAAUGGGCGAAAGCCUGAUGCAGCCAUGCCGCGUGUGUGAAGAAGGC